GAAAUGCGAUAACUAGUGUGAAUUGCAGAAUUCCGUGAAUCAUCGAGUCUUUGAACGCACAUUGCGCCCCCUGGUAUUCCGGGGGGCAUGCCUGUCCGAGCGUCAUUGCUGCCCAUCAAGCACGGCUUGUGUGUUGGGUCGUCGUCCCCUCUCCGGGGGGGACGGGCCCCAAAGGCAGCGGCGGCACCGCGUCCGAUCCUCGAGCGUAUGGGGCUUUGUCACCCGCUCUGUAGGCCCGGCCGGCGCUUGCCGAACGAAAAUCAAUCUUUUUCCAGGUUGACCUCGGAUCAGGUAGGGAUACCCGCUGAACUUAAGC
rnacentral:misc_RNA from 1 species